CUUGGCACCUGCUGCAAAAAUGUCAGGAAAACUUGAAUGCAGCUCUGCGGAUCACCUGUCUCAGGUUCCCUUUGGCGGUAGCCCCACAUAAAUGACCACAGGGGAUUGCAUGUUAUCCUGAGAAAAGCUCGGAGCAGGAGUCCUUCUUUCUGUGCUGUGAUGGAUGGAGCCCGUGCUGCUCUCAGAAGGAUGCCUCUUCCUGCUGGGGCAAAAUGUCACGUGGCCCGCUUCAGUGCAAGUCCAAGUUUACCUAUGCUGCUGCUCUGUUUUGCUAGGUUACUGUUAAAAUGUUAAAAUGCUGAUGAAGACGGGCUUCUGUAGAAUCCUGCUGCUGCCUUAUGAAUACAAAAGGGAAUCCUAAACCAAGCUUUAGUAUGAGCCUUAUCCUUGAAGAUGGCUUUCUGCUGCGUCCUAACUGUGCAAGUUCAUCUCUUCAAGUUAGAACUUAAAGGACCACUUGAGACAGGACCAGUAGCCCUGCAAGACCAGCGGGCAGUGAUGGGAAAUUUACCAACACAGGAAUGGGAAGAAGAUACAUCAGAAAAACAGCUGUUGGCAUCUCCUUGCAUAGGAAAAUCCAAAUUGCAGGAAAAACAGUGGAUUUGUGUUGAAGUUGCAGCAUUAACACAGCACUGAAGCAGUUACCUGGAAAACUGAUCCUGCAACAGCAGCCUGAGAAGUGAGGAACUGUUACCAGGAAGAUCUGA
rnacentral:lncRNA from 1 species